rnacentral:rRNA from 1 species
CACGGGGGGGGCAAGCGUUGUUCGGAAUUACUGGGCGUAAAGAGCGCGCAGGCGGUCGGAUAAGUCGAAUGUGAAAGCCCCCGGCUCAACUGGGGAGGGUCAUUCGAUACUGUUCGACUCGAAGGCAGGAGAGGGAAGUGGAAUUCCCGGUGUAGUGGUGAAAUGCGUAGAUAUCGGGAGGAACACCAGUGGCGAAGGCGACUUCCUGGCCUGUUCUUGACGCUGAGGCGCGAAAGCUAGGGGAGCAAACGGG